CUUCCUUUUUUCCAGUAGUCUUUCCCCAAGCUUCGCAUGCCUCACAUGCCUCAGACGACCCUGCUUCUUUAUCUCAUAAAUAUCCCGAGACUGUCACCCUUGUGGAGGUGCAUUUGAGAACUUGUUCUCCCAUCUCCUCGCAUGGCUGCUGCAAAACUUGACGUCUUAGCGUUUUGGCUUGCUCCGUGUCAGGCAAACGAAGCUGGUUCAGUAACACCUCCUCCUCAGCAAAGCUUUUCCUGAUCACCUGUAUGUUAUCCUGCUACCUGUGAUGCCCUUCUAACUCCCGCUCAUUCUUUGUGUCCGAAAAAUGAGGUUUCCUCAGGGAAUCUUUCCUUGCUCUAUUAAGGGUCUGAGCCAGAGCUCUUCGAGGACAGAAAUUGCAUUUGGUAAGCUUUUCACCAGAAUGUCAGCUCCAAGAGAGAUUGUUCUCCAGCAAUAGUGGCUCAAUUUGUGGCACUAAACACGUGUGUAGUUGUUUGCCUGGCUCUCUACCAACAUAGGGUUUGUCAAAGGAAAACUCAAAGUUAUAAACAUCUAGAAAAGGAAACAAAGACCUACAAAGAAGGACUACUUCUCCAAAUAACACAAUGCUGAGUAUUUAAAAAGAAAAUACCCUGUGAAAUUAGGUACGUUUCUGAGUUCAGAUCAAUCUGUUUCAAAGCAGAAAGCAGCAACUUUGUGACAUGAUUUUUAUAUUCACAAAAGUCAAGACACAGCUCCAAUAUCUGCAUAGAAAAGAUGAGGGACAGACUUAUUUUUGCAGGAAGUCCAGGUUGUCUGAAAUGUUCAGCAACUGGACAUUGAGGAAAGGAUCUCUGAGCUUGAGGAUAUUUCAGUAGAACCCACCAGAACUGAAAAGUGAACGAAGACCAAAAAAAUCGGAACUGUGGGACAGUUACAAAAGGUAUAAUGUAUGUGUAAUGGGAAUAACAGAAGGAAAAAAAAAGGAAGAGAAGAAAUAUUUAAAAUAAUAAUGACUGAGAAUUUCCUCCAAAUUAAUGUCAGAUACCAAAUUACAGAUCCAGGAAACUCAGAACACCAAACAGGAAAAAUGCCAAAAAAAUUACAACUUGGCUUUCUGUAUUUUGAAUAUGAUAUGCCAAAGUCAAAGAAAAAAAUUCUGAAACAAGCCAAAGGUAAAAUAUACCUUACCUAUAGAGGAGCAAGGAUAAGAAUUACAUCUAACUUCUCAUAAACCAUGCAAGCCAAGAAGAGGAGUGGAGUGAAACAUUUAAUCUGAUGAAAGAAAAAAAGCCACUUACCUACAAUUCUGUACCCUGAGAAAUUUUCCUUCAAAAGUGAAGGAAAAGUAAAGACUUCCUCGGACAAGCAAAAAUUGAGGGAGUUUGUUCCUAGUGGGCCUUGCCUUGCAAGAAUGUUAAAGGAAGUUCUUUAAGAGAAAAGGAAAAUAAGUCAAAAACUGGGAUCCACAUAAAGUAAGGAAGAGCAUCAAAGAAGGAAUAAAUUAAGCCACUCUGCAUCACUCACAUUACCACCUGAGCUCCGCCUCCUGUCAGC